CAUGAGCCACGCCAACCCCAUCAAACCGAACCGGAUCCAGCAGACCUUGCGCCGUUACUUCAAGCGGAUCCUGCCGCGCCCGCUGCCACUUAUCGAGGAUCCCAUGCAGCAGCUCAACCGCCUGAUGCAGUGGGAUAUGAACCAGAUCGAUGACAAGGAGUAUCGCCGUCGUCUCUGAGUGCGGGCCAUACCAACCACUCGGGACACGCAUCCCCUGCGGGCGACAUUGCUUUGCCGGAACUUGCU
rnacentral:sRNA from 1 species